CUAGCUUUAAAGAUGUGGAUCACGAUAAAUGAAAGAAUAUCUACGUUCCCCUGGGCCACUACAGUCUCCUGCAUCCUAGAGAGAAUCCCAUCAGCGAGCCCGUUUAUCAGUGUGCGG